CAGAGGGCUGGCCGGCCUCGGGGCGCGUGGCCGUGCUCCCGCGCAGCUCUCGGAGGCACCGCGCGAGUGCUGGAGGAAUGUCGGAGGAGCGGGAUGGGCCCCCGCGGAGCCGCCACCGGCACGGCCAGGCCAGCAUGGUGGACCACUUACUUCCAGUGGACGAGAACUUCUCGUCGCCAAAAUGCCCAGUUGGGUAUCUGGGUGAUAGGCUGGUUGGCCGGCGGGCAUAUCACAUGCUGCCCUCACCCGUCUCUGAAGAUGACAGCGAUGCCUCCAGCCCCUGCUCCUGUUCCAGUCCCGACUCUCAAGCCCUCUGCUCCUGCUAUGGUGGAGGCCUGGGCACCGAGAGCCAGGACAGCAUCUUGGACUUCCUAUUGUCCCAGGCCACGCUGGGCAGUGGCGGGGGCAGCGGCAGUAGCAUUGGGGCCAGCAGUGGCCCCGUGGCCUGGGGGCCCUGGCGAAGGGCAGCGGCCCCUGUGAAGGGGGAGCAUUUCUGCUUGCCCGAGUUUCCUUUGGGUGAUCCUGAUGACGUCCCACGGCCCUUCCAGCCUACCCUGGAGGAGAUUGAAGAGUUUCUGGAGGAGAACAUGGAGCCUGGAGUCAAGGAGGUCCCUGAGGGCAACAGCAAGGACUUGGAUGCCUGCAGCCAGCUCUCAGCUGGGCCACACAAGAGCCACCUCCAUCCUGGGUCCAGCGGGAGAGAGCGCUGUUCCCCUCCACCAGGUGGUGCCAGUGCAGGAGGUGCCCAGGGCCCAGGUGGGGGCCCCACGCCUGAUGGCCCCAUCCCAGUGUUGCUGCAGAUCCAGCCCGUGCCUGUGAAGCAGGAAUCGGGCACAGGGCCUGCCUCCCCUGGGCAAGCCCCAGAGAAUGUCAAGGUUGCCCAGCUCCUGGUCAACAUCCAGGGGCAGACCUUCGCACUCGUGCCCCAGGUGGUACCCUCCUCCAACUUGAACCUGCCCUCCAAGUUUGUGCGCAUUGCCCCUGUGCCCAUUGCCGCCAAGCCUGUUGGAUCGGGACCCCUGGGGCCUGGCCCUGCCGGUCUCCUCAUGGGCCAGAAGUUCCCCAAGAACCCAGCCGCAGAACUCAUCAAAAUGCACAAAUGUACUUUCCCUGGCUGCAGCAAGAUGUACACCAAAAGCAGCCACCUCAAGGCCCACCUGCGCCGGCACACGGGUGAGAAGCCCUUCGCCUGCACCUGGCCAGGCUGCGGCUGGAGGUCUGCCAGCCAGAAGAGCAGAUCUGAUUUGAGGGCAGCUGGGAAGCCGUCCAAUCUGGAGAGCCUCUACAAUUAGCAAAACAAGGUCUGGAAUUCCUGGACUUCACUCCUUGUUAGCGAGAAAGCGAAACACGUGAUGUUCUGCUUUGCUCUCAGUGUCAAAACCUUGUGCUCAUGGGCCCUGGCGGCUACACAGAAAGCCCUGAGGACUGAAACCCUGCAUGGGUACAUUUUGAUGGGGCAGGAAGAAAAGUUCUGGAGUGUGGAGAGCAGAGGUCCAGAGCAUUCACUGAUUUAGCCACAGAAGAAACAGAUGCGGAAACCGGGGCACAGCAGGCGAAGUGAAACUUCCCAUGUUCCAGCAAAGCCCAGUCCAUAACGUGAGGCUUUGUGAGGUUUGUGUGUGCGACCUUCACCCCUUCACCUGGACCCUCUCUUUGUCCUCCUUUCGCACCCAGUGAUGUGUGGCCUGGAUCACUUCCCUGCCCUCAAGUCUUGCCCUGGCCUGACGUUCAGCGGACCCUCCGUGCAUUAAGGAUGGAGGAUGGUUCCUUGUGCUUCCUCUACCAGGUGCACUUGUAUCUGCUCGGAAUUCUGGAAGAGCAAAGACCCACUGGCCCCACUAAUCCAUCUAUUGAUCCUGCCCCGGUCAGCAGGCUGGGUCUAGCCUCCACACUGCCGCUGCUCAGGGUCUGUGGAGGAAGUCGCUGCAGCCAUUCAGCCAGAUGAAUCGCAAUUAAUAAAUGUGGAACGAAUGAGAGACGAAGACGAUGAGCACCAGAGGACUGCAGGGAGCACGGCUGAGGCAACAUCACCAGAGGAUAGUAAAAUUAGCAGACAGAGAUCUAAGCACAAACAGUGUCUCUGUGUAGCCUUAAAGCAUCUCUUUGAAUAUUUAAUGGUUACAAAGGAAAAACAGUGAGUUGAUGGGGGAGAACCCUGGCAGGCACCACCCUAACCAAGAGAUCAAAGUUGGCAUGACCAGGCACAAGGCACACUAACAGCCCACACCCACUGAUCUGGCCCACCGAAAAUGCACAUCACUUCUGUGGCAUUGCCACGGAAUUUCCAAAAAGGCAUUACCUCAGUCCAAUGCAGAGAAGGCGUCAGGCAGACCUAGGCGGAGAGACUGUCCAAGAGCGACAGACCCAUCCUCUUAAAAAGCCGGCCCUGACACAGAAAGGAGACAGAGAAAGGUGACAGCCAAAUGCACGUGGGAGCUGGGAACAGAGGAGGGCACUGGGAGGGGCCUGCCUGCCGUCCAGCUCUCGAGACCACGGCGAGAUUCAGAAGGGAAUUGGGCCAUUCCUUCUCCAAAGCAGAACGUACUGCAGCUGUGAGAGUUCUAGGAGAAAAUUCAGGUGGAUGCUUCUGUAAUCUUGGAAUGGAGGCUAAGCCUGGCAACAAUGCUAGAAAACAGUGCUGAAGUUUGACAGAUUUAGCCACAUACAAUGGCAAAUGACAAACUGUAAAAGGAAUUCUUGUGAGACAGAGGAAGGAAGGAAGGAAGGAAGGAAGGAAGGAAGGAAGGAAGGUAGGAAGGAAGAAAGGAAGGAAGGAAGGGGCACCCUAAUAGGGCAAACAGUAGUAUAGGUCAGAAAUAACUUUGAAAGAACCACAGGGUGCUGGUGGGCCAAUCAGGGACAGACAGACCCCCUCUUCCAGGGGCUGGGCUGGGCUGGGGUGGGGUCCACAGGUGCAGCCCUGGAGCUGGGCUUGCCUGUCUGCAUCCAAGCAUCCCUGUGCUUUCCCUGUGAGCUGGCAGUCCCCACUAUGAGAUUCUAGCCUGGGAAUGUGCUAUAGGGAAGCUUACAGCAGCAGAUCAUAGAAAAGCAAAAUAGAAAUGUGAAAGGAAAAUAAAAACUUGGGACCCCUACUCCCUCCGCCAAAAGAAAAAAAAAAUGCUGAAAGUGGAGUCAUGCAAGAAGCUGCCUUUCCCUUUGUUCCUAAGCAGAUAGAGACAGAUAAAAGGUUAAAGAUCUCCACUCUGCAUUCACCUUAUCUUGUGUGAAGAGUCGAGUUACUGAGCAUGGGACGAACACAUAACUGACCAUUCCCCUACAUGCUCCUUUUCUUUUGCAACAUUUGGAUUCAGUAAUGUGACCAUACCCUCCCUCUGUCCCCUCCAGCUGGCUUUUUCCUUUAAAUACUGAAGCCCUCGAAAUCAUCUUUGGAGAAAGGCACAGACCUGUCUCCCAAGACGUGUCCUUAAUCUUGGCAAAGUAAACUUCUAAGUUGAUCGAGGCUUGUCUCAGAUAUUUUCAGGUUUACAGAAAGAAAUUCAAUUUCAGUCACAAACGGAAUGAUAAAAUAAGUUGUUACGCAUCCAUAGAAAGAAGAUAUUAACAUGGUAAGCCCUGUAUUUAUUAACCUAUGCUUACGAUAAAUAAAAACAGGCUGUAUGGUCAAAGGUGGAAUACAGCUAUAAGGAGAGAAGAAGUGAGAAAUGUAUCGUCUUUUAAAUUCGUUUCCUUUAUUACUAGUGAAGUUGAGGAUAUGCUCCCAUUUAGGGGCCGGUUACUUUGUCUUCUGUGAAUUGCCUGUUAAAUCCUUACCCAUUUCCUACUCUUUUCUUAUUGAUUGGAAAGACAUGUUUAUGCAACACAGAUAUUAACCAUUGGCACAUUACUUCUAUUGUAAACUAUUUUCUCCCUGCCUGGAAUUUGUCCUUUAAUUUGUUUAAGGAGGCAUUCAUUUAGUUCUUGCAAUAUUCAAAUCUGUCAGUCAUUUCCUUUACGGUUUCCAGGUUUUGUUUGCUGCUUAGUAAAAGCCUUCUUCACCAUAGGAUUUUAAAAAUAUUCUUCCAUAUUUGGCUUUAAAACUUUUAUAGAUUUUUUAAAUGUUUAGCUCUUUAAUACACCUGGAGUUUAUUCUUGCAAAUGGUAAGAAGAUUCUAACAUUGGUUUCAAAAUGGAUAGUGAGUUUUCCCCAAAGCCUCUGUUGACCUUCCAUCUUUCCAGCUUGGCUUUGAAAGGUCUCCUGUAUCAAAUACUAAAUUUCCCCAUAAACAUGAAUCUGUUUCUGGAUUUUCUGUGUGAAUUACUGAAGUCUUUUUGGAGGUUUUCGAAAUCAUCUUCAGGAUUCCUAUAUAUUUUCUCUUUCAGAUGAACUUUCAAAUCAGCUUCUCAAGUGUCAACAUCCUGUUGCGAUUUUCAUUGAUAUUGAACUGAAUUUAUAGAUUUUGUAAGCAGAAAAAAAUUAUUUUAAUUUUUUGAGAAAAAAAGUUUUAAAUGGUUUGUUUUCAGACUGUGUCAAGAUAUCCCUACCUCCGAAGUUGUCAGGUUUGCGGACCUUGGGGUGAAGCGUGGGGCUGCUGGAGGCGUCCAGCCCUGACUGUGUGUCCAGGACAAUGAGCCCCGAAGUGAGCGGGCCGCGUCCUGUUGGCGCAGCCAACUUCACGCCCUCUGUCCAGGGAGGACUAAGGGACAAGCUGCAGCAGGCGCAGAGGACGCUGUUGGUGUCCGGGAGGCCGCUGGUACAGGGCGUUGGGCGUGGCUCCUUUCCAAGUGCCUUGCACUUUCCAGGCUGGGCUGCAGAAGCAGGCUCGGGGGCGACUCGCGUGGGGACUGAAGCAGCCAGCCUUGGCACCUGCCCACAGCAAAUAACUGCCUUGACUUGAUCUGGUUUUUUUGAAGAAAGGUUUAUUCAUACCCAUUAUGUGCGCAUGUGUAAAUUCAAACCCACGGCUUGCCGGAGCCUGGGCUUUCUCGAACAUCAGUUGCUCCCAUGCUACCAUUUUGCAGUUUGCCCGUCUCCAGUAGAUGAUUUCUGAAUAUUUUAAUCAACUCAUUAUUAACCAUUCACACGUCUACCUUAGCCUCAUUUUAAGCAAUUGCACCUGUGGGUUUCACAGGCCUGCUGUAUUUUUAGUACAUAUUAAAUAAAGCAUGUCUGUUGGGGCGUGCUGUGCUUGCCCA